AUUGAACGCUGGCGGCAGGCCUAACACAUGCAAGUCGAGCGAGCGGCGGACGGGUGAGUAAUGCCUGGGAAUUGCCCAGUCGAGGGGGAUAACAGUUGGAAACGACUGCUAAUACCGCAUACGCUUGGAUUGCCCAGGUGUGAUUAGCUAGUUGGUUAGGGAAUGGCUCACCAAGGCUACGAUCCCUAGCUGGUCUGAGAGGAGGAUCAGCCACACUGGAAAUGAGACACGGUCCAGACUCCUAUGGGAGGCAGCAGUGGGGAAUAUUGCACAAUGGGGGAAAGCCUGAUGCAGCCAUGCCGCGUGUGUGAAGAAGGCCUUCGGGUUGUAAAGCACUUUCAGCGAGGAGGCGUUACUCGCAGAAGAAGCACCGGCUAACUCCGUGCCAGCAGCCGCGGUAAUAC
rnacentral:rRNA from 1 species